rnacentral:rRNA from 1 species
GCCACGAGCCGCGGUAAGACGGAGGAUGCAAGCGUUAUCCGGAAUUAUUGGGCGUAAAGCGUACGUAGGCGGUUUUGUAAGUCUGUUGUCAAAGCCCGAGGCUUAACCUUGGAAAGGCAAUGGAAACUGUAAGACUAGAGAGAGAUAGGGGCAGGAGGAAUUCCAGGUGUAGCGGUGAAAUGCGUAGAUAUCUGGAAGAACACCAGUGGCGAAAGCGUCCUGCUGGAUCUCAACUGACGCUGAAGUACGAAAGCUAGGGGAGCGAAUGGGAUUAGAUACCCCAGUAGUCCUAGCCGUAAACGAUGGGUACUAGGUGUUGGCCGUAUCGACCCGGUCAGUGCCGUAGCUAACGCGUUAAGUACCCCGCCUGGGGAGUACGGUCGCAAGAUUGAAACUCAAAGGAAUUGACGGGGGCCCGCACAAGCGGUGGAGUAUGUGGUUUAAUUCGAUGCAACGCGAAGAACCUUACCAAGGCUUGACAUGUCGCGAAUCUCUGUGAAAGUAGAGAGUGCCUUCGGGAGCGCGAACACAGGUGGUGCAUGGCUGUCGUCAGCUCGUGUCGUGGGAUGUUGGGUUAAGUCCCGCAACGAGCGCAACCCUCGUAUUUAGUUGCCAUCAUUAAGUUGGGCACUCUAGAUAGACUGCCGGUGACAAACCGGAGGAAGGUGGGGAUGACGUCAAGUCAUCAUGCCCCUUACGCCUUGGGCUACUCACGUACUACAAUGGCUGGGACAAAGAGUCGCGAGCAUGCGAAUGCAAGCUAAUCUCGUAAACCCAGUCUUAGUUCAGAUUGCAGGCUGCAACUCGCCUGCAUGAAGGCGGAAUCGCUAGUAAUCGCAGGUCAGCAUACUGCA